GGUAUAUUGGCCGAGGGGUCUAAGGCGUUGGAUUUAGGCUCCAGUCUCUUUGGGUGCGUGGGUUUGAAUCCCACCGCUGCCA
rfam:Danio rerio chromosome 4, GRCz11 reference primary assembly.